rnacentral:tRNA from 1 species
UGUAGAGUUGACUAAGGGUUAGUCGUCAGACUCAUUAUCUGGGCAUGUGGGUUCAAGUCCUACCUCUACUU